UGGGCUGGCCGGGCGGCCGCGGCGGCACCCUCGGGUGUCGUCGAGGAAGGUCCGGGCUCCACAGGGCGAGGUGGUGGGUAACGCCCACCCGGGGUGACCCGCGGGACAGUGCCACAGAGAACAGACCGCCGCCCUCCGGCUCCGGCCGGCGGGAGGCAAGGGUGAAACGGUGGUGCAAGAGACCACCAGCGCUCCGGGCGACCGGAGCGGCUCGGUAAACCCCACCUGGAGCAAGGUCGAGAAGUCCGCCUCCGCGAGGAGGUGGACGCGCGUGCGUUCGAGGGCUGCCCGCCCGAGCACGCGGGUGGACUGCACGAGGUCGUCGGCAACGGCGGCCCUAGAUGGAUGGCCGCACAUCGGUGCCCGGCAACGGGCCCGAGGACAGAACCCGGCCUACAGGCCAGCCCGUCCG
rnacentral:RNase_P_RNA from 1 species